CCCUACAGCAUCUUAAUUGCUAUCACAGAAAAAUACACAGUGGUUUGAAAAGACAGAAGAAAAGCUAAGCAGGGUCAGGCCUGGUUAGUACUUGGAUGGGAGACCACCUAGGAAGACUAGGUGCAGUAGGCA
rnacentral:rRNA from 1 species